rnacentral:lncRNA from 1 species
CUCAGGGUCCGGAUGCUGUCUUCAUCCCGCUCUGGACCAGAGGGGACCAGGCCUCAUGGCACUUACAGGAAGAGCAUCUCUACAGGUCCGUGCCAAGAGUAA